rnacentral:rRNA from 1 species
ACGCUGGCGGCGUGCUUAACACAUGCAAGUCGAACGGAAAGGCCCUGCUUUUGUGGGGUGCUCGAGUAGCGAACGGGUGAGUAACACGUGAGUAACCUGCCCUUGACUUUGGGAUAACUUCAGGAAACUGGGGCUAAUACCGGAUAGGAGCUCCUGCUGCAUGGUGGGGGUUGGAAAGUUUCGGCGGUUGGGGAUGGACUCGCGGCUUAUCAGCUUGUUGGUGGGGUAGUGGCUUACCAAGGCUUUGACGGGUAGCCGGCCUGAGAGGGUGACCGGCCACAUUGGGACUGAGAUACGGCCCAGACUCCUACGGGAGGCAGCAGUGGGGAAUAUUGCACAAUGGGCGGAAGCCUGAUGCAGCAACGCCGCGUGCGGGAUGACGGCCUUCGGGUUGUAAACCGCUUUCGCCUGUGACGAAGCGUGAGUGACGGUAAUGGGUAAAGAAGCACCGGCUAACUACGUG